rnacentral:pre_miRNA from 1 species
UGAGGUAAGUAGACAGUAAAGGUUUUUAUUAUUGAUAAAUGAGUUUGUUAUAAAUUAUACUCCAUUGGUCGUUUUUGUUUUCUACCAAACUUUACG